rnacentral:rRNA from 1 species
UACGUAGGGUGCAAGCGUUGUCCGGAAUUAUCGGGCGUAAAGAGCUCGUAGGCGGUUUGUUGCGUCGGCUGUGAAAUCCCGAGGCUCAACCUCGGGUCUGCAGUCGAUACGAGCAAACUAGAGUGUUGCAGGGGAGACUGGAAUUCCUGGUGUAGCGGUGAAAUGCGCAGAUAUCAGGAGGAACACCGGUGGCGAAGGCGGGUCUCUGGGCAACAACUGACGCUGAGGAGCGAAAGCGUGGGGAGCGAACAGG